CUGAGUUGGAGGUCGCUACCCUGCACUGCGAGGGGUAGCAGGGAGCUUGCUCCGCUGACGACCGGCGAACGGGUGCGUAACGCGUAUAGAAUCUACCUCUUACUAAGGGAUAGCCCAGAGAAAUUUGGAUUAAUAUCUUAUAGUAUAUAGACUUGGCAUCAAGAUUAUAUUAAAGGUUACGGUAAGAGAUGACUAUGCGUCCUAUUAGCUAGAUGGUGUGGUAACGGCACACCAUGGCGACGAUAGGUAGGGGCCCUGAGAGGGGGAUCCCCCACACUGGUACUGAGACACGGACCAGACUCCUACGGGAGGCAGCAGUGAGGAAUAUUGGACAAUGGAGGCAACUCUGAUCCAGCCAUGCCGCGUGCAGGAAGACUGCCCUAUGGGUUGUAAACUGCUUUUAUACAGGAAGAAACACUCUCACGUGUGAGAGCUUGACGGUACUGUAAGAAUAAGGAUCGGCUAACUCCGUGCCAGCAGCCGCGGUAAUACGGAGGAUCCAAGCGUUAUCCGGAAUCAUUGGGUUUAAAGGGUCCGUAGGUGGAUAAUUAAGUCAGAGGUGAAAUCCUGCAGCUCAACUGUAGAAUUGCCUUUGAUACUGGUUAUCUUGAGUUAUUAUGAAGUAGUUAGAAUAUGUAGUGUAGCGGUGAAAUGCAUAGAUAUUACAUAGAAUACCAAUUGCGAAGGCAGAUUACUAAUAAUAUACUGACACUGAUGGACGAAAGCGUGGGGAGCGAACAGGAUUAGAUACCCUGGUAGUCCACGCCGUAAACGAUGGUCACUAGCUGUUCGAAUUUCGGUUUGAGUGGCUAAGCGAAAGUGAUAAGUGACCCACCUGGGGAGUACGUUCGCAAGAAUGAAACUCAAAGGAAUUGACGGGGGCCCGCACAAGCGGUGGAGCAUGUGGUUUAAUUCGAUGAUACGCGAGGAACCUUACCAGGGCUUAAAUGUAGAUUGACAGGUUUAGAAAUAGACUUUUCUUCGGACAUUUACAAGGUGCUGCAUGGUUGUCGUCAGCUCGUGCCGUGAGGUGUCAGGUUAAGUCCUAUAACGAGCGCAACCCCUGUUGUUAGUUGCCAGC
rnacentral:rRNA from 1 species